CAUUUUGAGGGUUUGAUCCUGGCCCAGGAUGAACGCUAGCGGUGUGCUUUAAGCAUGCAAGUGGAACGCCGCCCCACAUUCAGGAUUUGAUAAUAUAAGAUAUGUAUUAUUUUUAUAUCCUAAAAAGUAACAAACUUAAAAGUUGUUAUUAUGGAUUUACGAACGAUCUAAGGAGAAGAUUUAAAGAACAUAACCAAGGUUUAUCGGCUUAUACGAAAAAUGGUAGACCUUGGAAAAUUGCGUAUUACGAGGCAUUUUCGAAUAAAGCAGAUGCAUUUGAAAGAGAAAAACAGAUGAAGAGAAGAAAGAAUUCAUACACUCUCCUUAGAAGAAGGAUAAUAAGAAGUAUCGAGUUUUGAAUGUGGGGCGGAGUCGCGAACGGCUGAGUAACACGUAAGGACUUACCCUUUGGCGGAGAAUACCCCCGCGAAAGCGGGGCUAAUACUGCAUAAUCCCGAUUUAUCGGGAAAAGGGCAUAACUGCCCACCGAAGGAGAGACUUGCGGCCCAUCAGCUUGUUGGUAGGGUAAUGGCCUACCAAGGCUACGACGGGUAGGGGAUGUGAGAGCAUGUCCCCCCAGAACGGGACUGAGACACGGCCCGUACACCUACGGGUGGCAGCAACUGGGAAUCGUGCGCAAUGGACGAAAGUCUGACGCCGCGACACCGCGUGAGGGAUGAAGGCCUUCGGGUCUUAAACCUCUUUUGAUCGCCAAGAAACGGGCGAUAGAAUAAGCACCGGCUAACUACGUGCCAGCAGCAGCGGUAAUACGUAGGGUGCAAGCGUUAUCCGGAUUUAUUGGGCGUAAAGCGUUUCGUAGGCGCCCCGUUGCAUCUUGUUUCAAAUACCAGAGCUCAACUUUGGGAAGGGACAAGAGAUGAACGGGGUUGAAGUACUUAGGGGCUACUGGAACUAUCGGUGUAGGGGUGAAAUCCGUUGAUAUCGAUAGGAACACCGAGGGCGAAGGCAGGUAGCUAGGAGUUACUUGACGCUGAGGAACGAAAGCCAGGGGAGCGAAAGGGAUUAGAGACCCCUGUAGUCCUGGCCGUAAACUUUGCUCGCUAGGGAUAGGACUCGCAAAGGAUACAUUCUUUGCGAGUGAAAACUCCAAAACUCAAAGAUUCCAAAACUCCAGGCAAUUAAUAGUAGAAGUUUGAAAUAAUUUUAAUUUUUACUUUAAACUGUUUGGCAAUUUGGAUUUUUGGAUGUUUGGCGUUUUUCGCAAAAGUAUGAUGUAUUUUUUGCGAGUUCUGUCCCGUAAGCUAACGCGUUAAGCGAGCCGCCUGGGGAGUACGAUCGCAAGAUUAAAACUCAAAGGAAUUGACGGGGACCCGCACAACCAGUGGAGCAUGUGNNNNNNNNNNNNGGUUUAAUUCGAGACGGACCGAAGAACCUUACCUGGGCUUGACAUUGCCCCCUUCUAGGUUGCUAGAAAUAGUGACUGAUUCUUAAGAAAUUAAGAAAGGGGCAACAGGUGUUGCAUGGCUGUCGUCAGCUCGUGCCGUGGGGUGUUCCCUUCAGUGGGGUAACGAGCGCAACCCCUGCCCCGUGUUAAAUAUUCACGGGGGACUACCUCGCUUAGCGGGGAGGAAGCAGGGACGACGUCAAGUCAGCAUGGCCCUUAUGUCCAGGGCGACACACAUGCUACAAUGGAGCCGACAAAGGGUUGCCAAGCGGUAACGCGGAGCUAAUCCCAAAAACGGCUUCUCAGUGGGGAUUGGGGGCUGAAACUCGCCCUCAUGAACGCGGAAUUGGUAGUAAUCGCGGAUCAGUAAUGCCGCGGUGAAUACGUUCUCGGGUCUUGUACACACCGCCAAAUUUUAAACGCGCGUGGCAGUUAUAUCAUCUAAUAGGUUAAAGUCCUAU
rfam:Candidatus Woesebacteria bacterium RIFCSPHIGHO2_01_FTLL_40_22 rifcsphigho2_01_scaffold_2553, whole genome shotgun sequence.